ensembl:lncRNA
UUUGAAGUGAUGGCAACAGAUUUUGAUGAAAGAAAAUGUCAAACCCAUCGCCUUGACAGCGUUUUGACUUAACACCUGUAUGGUGCUUUCCUAAAGACGACUUCCUGUCCCUCUCAAGAGUGCUCACAUGUUUACCCAUAUGAUACAGCUGAGUAAAGCAGCUAAGCCAUCCACGCUGCCAUGCCCGGCCCAUGUUUUAUCCUGUUAGCGGCGCUCAGCACCCCGACCCCACCCCCCACCUUCCCUGAAUGGACGCCGUUUUAGCACAUUAGUUUUUGCACUCUGAAUUCCCUGUGUGCACUUGAACCACCUGGCGUGCAUGGCAGCGCCGCGUGAGUCAGAACGCUGUGGCCAUUAAAGCCCUGCAGGCGCCGCGGCAGUGGGGAAGGAUCGAGCCCGUGUGGAAAUGUUGACCUUAGCACGGAUCUAGAACACACAGAUGCACGUUCUCUCACGGCCCGGCUCUCACUGAUCCUAUAAGCGCUCCCCAGAGGGCAGCAGGCCGGGACGGUCGCUCUUAGCGGGUUAGCUCUGCACACUGUGCUGUCCCACUAUCCGCUGUGGAGAUGCUCACUACGGAUGCAGCCGGAGACAACACACAAAGUCUCGUAUCAAUUUCGCGCUUGAUGGCGUACGGAUUAAAACUACACAGGUCGCGGAAGCUGAUUUUGAUCUCUUUUCUUUUUUUUCUGGAAUGAAUUUUUUAUGUAAAAUCAAAGACAAAAUUGAAGAAAAAAAACGUGUUACCUUUUUGUAUUCAUUAUUUCUAUCAAAUAUCUGCCAAUGUACAUACCUUUAAUCAAGGUAUAAUCUUUGCGAUGGACUCACAGAAAACGUUUUCUUCAGCCUUCUGCUUCCCUCAGCUGUGCAAAGCUUUACAGCGUCUCAAUUCUCAUUCAGUCCGGCCCACAACUUAACUGUUUUGGUUCCCUCUCAGAAACGCUGACUAGAAGAGGGUAAAUAUUGGACUUUCAUUCAUCAGGUGUCCACAAACACAUGUUGCUCUAUUAACUGCUGGAUGUGUAAAUAAGCAACUGUUUGCUGAGAUGAAGCAAUCCUUCAAAGAAUUAGUCAAGCAAGCAAUUACCAAUUAAUCAACGACAAUCAGCAACAAUAUCGAUUUAAAACAGUUUUCAAAAACUGCCAAAGGUAAGCCAGAGCCGGAAAAAAAGGUUUACCGGCUCCGGCUUCCAACGUGUGAAUAGUUCAGGUUUCCUCGGUCCUCUGUGACAGUAAACUGAGGUAUUUUGGCCCAGAGAAGCUUUUAAAUCAAUUCAAGGUUAAUUUGAUACAUUUUCACAGGCCAUGUCUUAAUUUCCACCUGCUUCCGACAAAACCAGGCAGCAACAUCCAAAAGAAAUACAAAAUACUUUUUACCCGUCAAACAGGCCACAUAUUGACCGGGCAGGGCGUCGGGAUAAUAAAUUGUGUCACUACAGGGAUCGCCACGGCCUUCACUUAGCUGGGACUCUCCUUUCAGGUCUGCGCUGCAUCCUUCUACAGACACAGAAAGAUCCUUUUAGCAGCUAUUUUCACCACCGUCCCCGUGGUGGUCCCUUUGUCUGGCACAAGAAUCACUUGUCACCUUUGUCACAUUCUAAGAAAGAACCACAGUUUCCGGCCUCACAGCCCCUUGAGGAUACAUAUAGAGUAACUACACACAUAACAUGUUACACACGUGGCUCAGAGGAUGCAGCGGGAUUUCUUUUAGGGGGGAGGACAUCGUUUCACGGUUUAUAGUCGACCAUCAUUAGAUCGUCAUGUCUUUUCACCUUCUGUUUCUCAAGUCUCUCCCUUCUCAACCUCGCGCUCUCAUGAUCUCCCUCUUUUUGUCACUCUGACUCACUCUCUCUCACGUACACAACAUGCGCACUCUGUCCGUGACCGCUCUUCAGAUCCAGUCCGGUCGCCAACGCGCCACGACAUACGCAACAGCAACCCGAGAUUAGCAGCCACUACUAGCAUGACACACCCGCACUCGCACACACACACACACUAACACAUAUUAUAACCAGACUACUGGAGAUACUGAGCUGCAGCACACACACACGCACACACAGACGCCGCACAUGAAAUGAGGUAAAGCUUGAUUCUACCACAAUAGAAAAAAGCAUAUUCUUCAACGGCGUCAUACAUUUUUGCACACACACACACACAAAUGCACACACUGGCCCAGAUCCCUCUCAUAGAGCAGCACUGUUUGGUAGAAAAUGUACAGAAGAAGAAGAGUGGGGAGGGGGGGGGGACGCUACAGCAGAGAAUCUCCAUGGAAACAGGCUGGAGAGCAGCAUAUCCCACUACUGUCAGAGGCUGAAUCGAGUCCUCAUUAGGAAAAGCCAAACCACACCACACACACUAGGCGCUUGAUUCCAUUAUUUACUGCAACAGAAAUAUCACACACACCUGAACGUGAAUAUCCUCGUGCUCUGAGCAGCCGCUACAGUGCAACGAGAUUAUUGGACUUCGACAAGAGAUUAUUUUGGGAGGAUAUUCUUUCAGUUUGGCUCAUCUUUGCUCGUCAUUGACUUGUUGUCAAAUGCCUCAAUUACCUUGAUUUGAAAUGGAAUAGCUCUCCUGUGUUUCUAAGAUUUUGGUGUUGAAUCGCACAGAUUUUGAUUGUAGUAGAUAAUGUGGUACAACGUGUAGUGUAGUGAAAAGAAGUCUUUUACUGAGGUUGCUUUGAACUGAUCUUUAAGUAAUAGUGAGUUAGCUUGAAUUUUCCAUGAAAUAAAUGUUGCAAAGAUAAAGUUGACACACUUACAAACAGCAUGUAGGCGUUCACGCCACCACCGCACCUCUGACUUCUCCACAUCAUGUGCAUGUUUACGCAAACCAUUUCUGGGUCUUAAGUCCUCCACAAUUUUCAACCACAUUUUCUGAGAUUUAUGUAAUUCACAGUUAUCUACUCAGGUCAAAUGUGAGGAAAGUACGUGUUUCUACAGGUUUCUUUGUACAACAACAAUAAACCGUAUCAAUUGUGCUUUCUGCUGCCAAAACCAAGCUCACUGCUUUCUAUAUUCAAACUCAUAUUCAGUCAUCCACUCACUCAUACACCCACAACGCUUCUCCUGCUACCUAACAUGGUAUUGUACCAAGUACCUCUUGGAGGGAUUCAACUGGAAAUCAAAUACAAUUCUGGUUAUUUCCAUCCAGCUUCUCUUGGGCUUUGCCACAAGCGUGAGCAUCGGGUGCCAAGGAAGCAUUGAGAUGGGUCACUGUAAAAAUGUGAAAUACAACUGAAGAUAAGAAUGCAUCAGAAGGAAUGCAUUGCUGAGAUAGGAUAGGGUAUAUAGGAUGAGGUCACUCUCCCAGCAAAAAUGCUCAAAUGUGAGAAGGAUUUUAUCUAAUUUAGAUUCCUGUGUAAAUAGAAUAGACUGUAAAUGGGCUUUGGACCGUCGGCUGGACUAAACUGUGCAUUUUUUACAAUAUACCUGAAUUUUAUGGAUCGAAUGAUUAGUUUUGUAAGUUGUAAACAUAAUGAAAAGGGAAAAAAAAUAGGCAUCAAUAAUCAGUCGUGGCCCUCCUGAACACGUGUUCAGCAGUCAACAGUGAUGGAAUUAACUGUACGGGUGUGUUUGAUGAGCAAUGAUGGAUACAGAAAAGAUGUACAAGUGUGCAUUGUAACUGCUUUUAAAUCCUGGAGCCAGUAACAGCUGGGAAGAGACGUAUCCGAAACAAUAGUCUACAGUGUUUAUAGACAUUGACAUGAGACAGGAGGGACACCAACAGCUUGACAUCUAAAUAGCGAAGCUGUUAAAAGAAACCAAAUCCUGAAUCCUUAAAGUGUAAAUUCAUUGCUACAUCUCAGGAAAGUGUCUCUCCAUGAGGCGGUUGUCAUCGACACACAUCGUCUUCUCGUGGUUAUGGGAAUAAGUUUGACUUCCAGGUGGCGUUUGACACCUUGAAUAACAUGGAAGCUUUAUAAUAUCUAUUUCUAAAAAAUGUGGAUUAUCACUUUAAACACGACUCACUGCCAUUUGCAUUGUCCUGCAUUGCACCCAGCAAUGAAUUGGCAUGUCAGCUAAUAGCUGGUUAAUUCCAUUCUGACCUCAAAAUCCUGCACCAAAACAGAGAGAGCAAAUGCCAUCAGCAGCCAGAUGUACUGCAGCUUUAAUCCCAAAGACAAACAGGUGCUAUCUGUGAGCAGGACGCAGAGGGUGUAUCAACAAAUCACUUAUGUUGUAAUCUUCAUCAAAUGACUUACCUCCCAUUCCCAAAGUAAGACACAAAGAGCAAACUGUGGUGUCAAACCGAGAUUGUUAGCGUUAAAACAAUCUCCGCACAGAGGAAGUUUUAUCGCUCCACUAACCAACUGAGCCACUGAGCCGUUGUCAUUGGCCAUAAAGGAGGCUGUAAAAUGGAGCUCUAACUUUUGUCCCCCUGUAAUCUACUUGGUCCACAUCUGAGAAACUACUGGACAGAUUGCAAAGAUUGGUUUGGGUCGGCGCAUUUCAAAAUGUACAAGAUGUAUCUAAAAAGGUACUUGCUGAAUUUCAAGGACAUUUACUGAACCUGUUAUUGGGCCGAAGGGAAUGACUGUCAAUGUCUCCUGAAUUUACAAUAUCUCACGGUGUAACAGAGUACAAUUUAUACACCUGACACUUUGAGAAACUAUUAAACCUGGAAUAGUUGAGACGGUUAGCUUGACUCGUCCUAAGGUAACAAAAUCUGCCUAGCAGCACCUCCAAAGCCCUCUGACACAGAAAACCCUCCUGGAAGAUACUGGUCCCAGCCAAGAAACAGUCCAGCAUUGAACCCCCGUAAAAGUCUUAUACGCUGUUGUUUUUCAAUUUCUAUCAACAGCUUUAUGUUGUGCAUUUCGAUCAGUAUUUCAUUGCCCCAAAUUGUAUAAUACACAUUGCAGCUCUAUGAGACGCUGGAGGGGCUCUCUGCUCUGGGAGCUUCAAGCCUUUGAAUGGGAACUGGCUAUAUGAGGAUCUCCUGGAACAUCAGAGCAGGAAGAAGCCGCCCAGGAGUUGAGCCCUCUGAACCUCUGAGAUCCCCCACUGCAUCCUAAUGCUACCCGUGAUAAAUGACCACCUCGGACACCUUACACGUGAAAAGCAGCUCAAUUCAGUCCACACAGCUGUCUGAGUCGGCCUGCGUGUAUUCCUGUAGGUGAGCCUUUGCUCACCGUGUGUGCCAUGUAUCGGGAGAUGGAGCCUGUUGCAAGGUUAAACGCUGCAUGUAAAGUUUGUAUGUGUGCCUGCGUGUGUCAGGCUGCAGGAUUAACGCAGACGUGACUGAGCAUGGGUGUACAUACGAAUUUCAGCCCAAACCGGCACAUUUUGUAGGAGCAACAAAUCCAGGAGCUAAACGGAGCACAUGACACUGUCAAAGCAUUGAACACACGGACAUGGAAGAAGCCCUGAAGCCCUGAAGCCCAGUCAAACAGCAGGAAGCAGGAUUUGGAUAUCGUUGCAGCACCAGCUCUUCUACGUUUCUUAUUGUGGCAUUAGUAGUGGUCUGCGUGUGCGUGAGCUGAUAACUUCAUUAGUACACUUACAGGUUCAGGCUUUGAGGCGUCACACCCAACGUGUGUUAGAGAUUUAAGGAUUGGGAGGAGAUCACAGUGUUCAGCCGGCUAGCAGGCUUGAGGAAUCACAGUGAUGGAGUAAGUUCUCCUUCAACACCCCCUCAAACCUCUGUCCUCAUCUGCAUGCUGCUGUUAUCCUCAUCUCCCCUUUCCUCGUACUGUCUUGAAUUCCCUCUAUCUGUGACUAAUAAGGCACGAACAUAAAUUGACAGGAAGACCGUUUUCUCCUUUACAAUCAAACACAAUUAGAAGGCAGUCAUUUUGAAGCCAGACAUUGUCCCGAUGUUAGCGGCCGUAAGAAGAUAGAUGAAAAGCUGUUUGGACGAAAAUCCCCUUGCUGCCCGUCGAGAAGCCUUUUUGUGGAGCAUCCCUCCUACCCUGCUGGAUUCCACACACACACACACUCACACUGGCACGGAUAGCUGUGAUUGAAGGCGAGAUGAGGGGCUUUUUCUACAAAACUGACGACGUGUGUUCGACCGAGAUCUUUCCCCGUGAGCGUAUUUCUAUCCGUUGCGGUGAAUACCGAUUACCUUAUCUGCUGUGCCAACUUCUCAUCAACCUGUUCAAUUUGAACACACACACACAGGCCAGUAACAGUUCUGCAGGAAAUGUCUCAAGAGGAAAGCAAAGACUUGAUAUGCCCCCCACCCCCAAUAAGUCUAAGACUUCUUACCUUGCUGCAAGUCUAUGUUCCGGACACAUUGGAGCACAUACGCGGCGCGUCUUCACGCGGUGAGAGGGAAGCGGUGGACAGUCAUGCAGACGUGUUUCACAUCUGAGAGCGCCGGGUGAAAGCAGGCUGUUUCCUCUGUCUUUCUGCUCCUUUCUUAUUUUUUCCAAAGCCCUCAAAAUAAUGGAGCACUGACAGAGGAGGAGAAGGAGGAGGAGGAGAGGGAAGGCUGAUGGAGCAGUCUGCCAGGCUGGGCUUCUGUGGAUCACCUGGAGCAGUGUUGGGCUCCGCAUUUACUCCUCCACUGCAGCAGUGCGAGGCAGCGGCGCGAGCUGCAUGUUGCUCCCAAAGAGCGCCGCAAAACAAGGACACGGAGUCUCCGCGUGCUGGAUUCGGGAUUCUGCAGCUCCGUCGCUCAACGCGCUGCUAUGCCCAUCAGCAUGCACACUCACGCUGUCAUUCUUCCCCCCCUCUGGGUUUAAGCUCCAUCCCUCUGUGUGCUCUUUGCCUCACGUCCCUUGUUCCCCCCUCGACGGCGGUUUAUGACCGGUCACAGGCGUGUUGUCAUGUUAUCCAUGCUCCGUGUCUGACUGGUGCGUGUGGUCAUACGACCGGUUCCAACGGUGGUAAAACGUCAAGCUCGAUGAAGCCUCAGCCAACCUCGCACUCUCCCUUUGAUGACAUCACUCGUCUGACAGAAGGGGAGAGGGAUGUUCCUGCUCUGGUUGGGACCCUGCCGACGUCACCGAGAUCAUUUUUUAGGCCAUGUGCCUGGUGUUUAAAUGGCAUACAAUCAACGCACAAAAGCGAAGAACAGGAGGCAAGUCAGAACCGAUUGUACCACUUUGUCUGCACGAGAUACAAGCCAAUUACAGAAGACUAUCAUUCCCCUCACAUUCUGCCGCACAGUAGAGACUUAAGGUUAAGAGACAAUCGGGAAAGAGGAAUGAAUACAGAUUUGGGAAGGAUCAUAUCGAUUUGGGGUCCAUUGUAAGACUUAUUGGUAUUCUGAAGGAGUGGGGUUGCUUCUCAAGAGAAAUAUUAGCGCUCCUUCAGCAGAUGAAAAAAGACUCGGCGGCCAUGGCUGACGCAGACGGAAAACAAGGAGGUUGAAACACAAAGCUAACGCACAACAAUGUAAAACCUUGUCUACGUCUGAACGUAGAUGCCGCGGUGUUUCCUUGUCAUUUUUUUCUACAUUACAACUUUUAAACAAACAUGAUGGAUAGUCACUGCCAUAGAGCAGCAGAUCUCCACUUCUAUCAUUCUACUACAUACUGACUGACAGCAACACAAAGUGGACUGAUAUUGCAUGAUCCUUAUUAGGUCAUUAGUAUGUUAUUAACAGCAUGUAUAUAUCCGGUUAGAUGUCCCAUUGGGUUUUUUUCGUCAACCCCAUCCACAUCGUAAUUUCUCCAUUUGAAACCAGCUGCUCUGGUUUGCAAGACCACUGCUCCAAUUCCCUAAACUGCGCCAAAAUAAAAACCCAAAUGAUAUGUGCGUACUUGUGUAAGAGCGUUGGCACAACACCGGAGCUGCCAAGGUAACAGGAGAGAGACUCGUCCUCCGGUGAUUCCUUCUGCUUUCACGUCUAACAUAUUUAACCUUGCACUGCGGAUGACACAUCCUAUUGAGAGCCUGCAAAGAUUUUCAAAAGCACUCAGUAACGGAUAACGUAACGCAUUCUGAAAUGGUCGGUUUUUGAAAUGCACCAUCAGGCCUGUCGUUUUGAAGCGCAGUCGUGUAAAGAGCUCCACCUGGUGGUGUGAAACCCACCUGGAGUGCUUUUGGACAUUUUGAGAUUACAUUACAUUACAUUACAUGUCAUUUAGCGGACGCUGUUAUCCAAAGCGACGUACAAUAAGUGCAUUCACACAUUUGUGCCGUAAUUUGGGUUCUAGAUUUAAAAAAAACAUUUAAAGCAACACAAACUAUAAGUGUUCAUUUUUAAAGCUUUAACGCAUCCACAUAAAAGGCAAUAAGCAGCAGAAAUGCUCCUCCUUGCUUUACAUUCCUUAAAAUCAUCCAGUCCACGCACUCAUUAACAUUCUGCGUCAACCUUGAGAAAAUGAUGAGCAAGGUAAGAUCAAGAGCUCCGGAGGGCUGAUAAAGAAAGGAGAAAAAAAGCAGAACAAUUCUUUAGGUUGUGCACAUCACAAAAGCAGAGAUGUUCCCUCCUCCUCAUUUACUUCACCUGGAAACUUUGUGCUGACGAAGCCCGUAAAAGUACAGAAGGACCCUACACACGAUUAACUCGCAGAUAAUCUCUGACGUGUGUCGAAACUCCAAGGUCGGCCUAUUCAUUAUGCUUGAAAAGACAUUUUCAGAACAUAAUUAACACAUACUGUUUACCGUCUGAUCUUUUUUGAGCAAAUGCUGUGACAGUUGAGAUCCUACAGCAUUUGUGUAAUAAUGGUGUUGCGAUUUAGGACGACACUGCUGCACUAAAGACACAAGGCAACGAUUAAUGUCGGGCUGAAUUUGCAAAAAUCGUUAAUGAUAAAAGGGAAAGCUUCACUGCAAAAAUAGCCAAAUGUGACUUAAAACGUGAGGUUCUUUGGUGAAUUAUGCUCCUGUUCUGUUCUCUUGUCUCAAAAAUCUUGUUAAUACUUUGUGUCAGUUUGAGAUAUUUAUAACCAGGUCACAGAUAAAAUUACAAAAUGUAACAUGUCUCUUUUAUGAUUUUGUCUUGGCCUUUGGCUUCAAAAGCAUCACAGUGGAAGUGAUGGUAUUUGAUGUUUUUCCUGAUGUGAGCCAGUAUUUGAUCCUCUAGAAUGCCAAAAAUUGCCAGGAGAAAGGCAGCUGACCCCUGGAGUGUUUUUCCUUUGGAUGGAUCUCAGAGCUCCGACCUCUGCUGAGGAAAAGAGCCGGGCAGAGUUUACCUAAUUAACCGCUAUCUCCUUUCUGCUCCGUGACCAAAUAUUCCACACAACACCUCCACCUCAUUAUGCACAGUUGAUUUGUCAUCUCUGACUGUCUGUUUAUAUAAUUUCCCAUCAUGAAUCUGGCUGGAUGGUAGAUAAAUAUCUCAUCUCAUCAUCACGUGUGUGUGUGUGUGUGCGUGUGUGUGUGUGUGUGUGUGUGUGUGUGUGUGUGUGUGUGUGUGUGUGUGUGUGUGUGUGUGUGUGUGUGUGUGUGUGUGUGUGUGUGUGUGAACGUUGUUGCUUAUAGUGAUAACUCCAAUUAAAGUUUUCUUUAAAUCUCUAACUGGAGCAGUUCGACAUCUCGUUGUUUACAGCCCACAGCUUUACUGUUGUGGUCCAGUCCAGAUUUUCUCCCAACAGCUGAUGGGGAGAACUAAAAGUAGAGUAUAUAUAACAUUUAUCAGGUGGACACAAAAAGAACUCGAUGGAGCCAACCAAAAAUGUGUCAGUCCGUUUUUGUAUACUAUUUUUCUGCAGCUCGCUUUAAUAACUUUUAAUAAACAAUAGAAUGUUGAAUUGUUAAAAAAGACAAGAUUGAGCAGCCUGAUCUCCAAAACCUGUUCGUAAAAAUGUAUACAAAAAUCUUGAACAUACAAAUUCGUAGUGAUACAUAUGAAAUAAAUACGGACUGCAACUGAUGACGUCACCCUAUUCAAAGCGAAUGAGGACCUGCACCCCGUAAAC